CGCUCAGUCCAUUAUUUUUAUAGUCUAUGCUGCUUCCCCAAAUUCCUAUGGAUGAUAUUAACCAAGUCCUGGAUUAUUUCUCUCUGACGACCCGGUUAAAGUCAGACAAAGGUUACAAGUACUUCAGUGAAGGCUGCUUGUUUAAUUGUGAAGCUCGUGGACUGUGCGGCGAUGGCAUUUCUCCGCGAGCAGCAGCUGACUCAGCAUUCGCCGAGAAGAUCCGACUGAAUACCUGUGAAAAUACCAUGAAAGGAGAAAGAAUUCAUUCUCACCCAAAGACCUGAAUUUAGUUUGGAAUGACAGUGGACACAUACCCACAGAAACCAGUCAUACUUUUCUGUUUGUGAGCAACUCCAUUGGCCAGAUGACUGUCGAGAUCACGCAGCUUCACUGAGGGAGUCAUGGCUGAGUCAGUUCCUCUCUACUAGUAAACACACUGUUGGAGUGAGUAGAAAUGAUGGGAAAAUUGAAGCAAUUUUCUGCUUUCUCGUAAUGUUUUUUUUUCACAGAGGAAAACCGAAUUCAAAAACAUGUUGGGAGAAAAAAAUCCAAAACUAAAAAACCCCUAAAAACUCCAGCUCUGAUGAUCAUGCAACAAGUAUAGCAGUAAAAAUGUAAAGAUUAAGUACAACAUUUUAAAAAUUCACACACAGAUAGUGGCUCUGCUGCUAAACACUGAACACCAUGGACAAUGUGGAGUUCAGUGUCUUGUCCAAGGACAUUUAGACACUAGUUGGAGGUCGACCACUCUACCUCUGCACCAUGUAAAGCUUCAAAUGCCGUAAAUAACAUGGGUUUUUGGUCAACUCUUUAACACCGGAGCUCCAGUGUUUAUGUUAAAAAGUUACAGUAUGUCAAAGAUUUUGUAUUUAAGCAACACCACAGGUGUUAAAUGGUUAAAAGUAGAAAA